AACGAGGUCACUGGCGGUGUAGUUGCUGCCCCCAUCGAUUCCUUCUUAGUAUAACGUGCGUGUAAUCCUUUGCUGAGCGAAUAGCUGCAGAGCACCGCGUCGUGGGUCACCCAUGAGUUGUCUUCAUCUUGGCGCAGUUCUCGUCGUCUUGGUAGCCUCAGUGGUGAUGGCACCUCCGGUAGCUCCACUGAAGUUGUCGAGCCAUUGCUGCAGUUGCCG
rnacentral:lncRNA from 1 species